CAAGGCCCUAAGUCCUCCAUUUUGUCUCUUGUUUUCUAAAACAGCUUAAACCUUUAACUUUCUCACCCAGUGACUUAAGAACACUCUAUGUAAUUUACCCUCUCACAUUCCCAAUUUCUCUACUUUAAGGGCUGUCUCCAUGGCGUUAUGUGAAAUUCAGUGUUCUCUUGGGUGUCAGAGCCAGGCACCACAGAUAAAGGUAUCUUGCAUCUCUGACCCCAACACAACUGAAAGGAAAUGUAUGACCAGAAUUUUCAUGUUUGUGGAAAAGAAAGCUGUAAAAUAUCAUCUCAGAUAACAGAACUUAAUCAUCCAGAGUAAAACGAGUCAGGAAAAGACAUUGCUCAGCAGAGAACUAGGAGGUUUCAAAGACUGGAUGGCCAUAGUGAGUUAAGGCAACAAGUCUUGUUCUGAGCAAGAUACCACAGCUUGCUUCUCCAAAAGGGAUUUGCUGCCUUCUUUUAAGAGGGGAGAUCCUGGAGAAUUAAUCUAACUCCAGCAGAAAAACCCUGGAAAAGAAAACUGUGCCAAGAGCUUGUGAUGCUCUCACCUACCUGGAGAUGUACUGUGGUGCUCUGGAGAUGUACUGUGUCUGUCUAAGGAACAAGUAAAUAAAAG